UACGUAGGGGGCGAGCGUUAUCCGGAUUUACUGGGCGUAAAGCGCGUUAAGGCGGUUGGCAAAGUUGGUUGCGAAAUCUCAGGGCUCAACCCUGAAAUUGCGACCAAUACUGGUCGACUAGAGUGUGAGAGAGGAAGGUGGAAUUCCCGGUGUAGUAGUGAAAUGCGUAGAUAUCGGGAGGAACACCAGUGGCGAAGGCGGCCUUCUGGCUCAUAACUGACGCUGUAGCGCGAAAGCGUGGGGAGCGAACCGG
rnacentral:rRNA from 1 species